rnacentral:misc_RNA from 1 species
AACGCACGAGACCUGCGGACCUGCGGAAGGAUCAUUACCGAAUGGCCUCUGGGCCUUCACAAACCCCAUCAAACCUGUGGACCUCUCAGAGAGAGCGUGCUUCGGCGUCCCCUCGGCUCUGCCCGAGGGACGCCGCCUUCAUGCAGAUAGAUCGUCUUGUCUGAUUUUGAAACCAUGAGAAUUUAAAACUUUCAGCAAUGGAUCUCU